GGCAGCAAUAUUGCCUGGCUGGAGGGCUGCUGAGAACAACCUGGAGGUGAAUGAUGAAAACAAUGGCGUGAGACAAUUCGUUCCAAUACUAGCAAGUUCUUGGAAGUCAUAUUCCACUGUUCUCAUCUCAGGAUUGUGGAUUCCCUAGGACAGUCUGUCUUUAUCUGUAAUGGGAAACACUAUGAAAAGCAUUGCUUUUACUGCAAAGUGUUGCUGAGACUUAGUAUGCCUCUCAGCUGUGAAGAAACCUCAAAAGAAUGAGCGGGUCCAUCCAGAUCCAGACAGAAGAGUUCUGAUGCUCUCAGGAGAUCAGCUAGACAUCCUGAGUCUUCACAAUGGGCUUACUCUGGUUGUUAGAACUAGGACAUGACAAGGCAUGGAAAAAAAAAAUCAUAAGAACUUCUCUGAAGCUCUUAUUAUAGCUAAACCAUCCAUGUCCUUCACACAUCUGUUAUCAGUAGCUCAGAAAAACCAUCUGCCCCCUCCUACUGUACUCUCUAUGUUUGUAAAUAGAUGUCUCACUUGAUGCAGGCUAUACUGUCCCAGGGUUUGACCUGAAUCAGAACAGACACAACAGUCCUAUACAGGCAGUAUCACAUACUGCAUUUCUGCUCCUCUGCCAGUAGAAGCCCAACAAGAACAGGCAGGCUGCCCAGCUAGUCCUGCAAUAAUCUUACACACCCACAUGGCCAUGACCCAGAAACAAGUACAUUUCAUCCUGCAUACUUCAGAGGCACUUAAAGCAGGAUAGUGGACCUGUAUAUCUGUAGGAUCCUAGGACAAAAGACUUUCUCCUGGGAGAAAUACAAGGUCUAUUUACAACCUAAGAAGCAAAAUACAGUAGUCUAAGAGCUUGAUCCUAACUACUGCAGAGUACAUGCUUUGAGUUAGCAAAUGACUUGUAUUUAGCAAAGUACUUAAGCACACACUUAACAUCAAGCUUCAGUGGGACUGAAGCACCUGCUCUUGUGUGCUUUUGAAUCAGUGUCUAAAUACAAGAGAAGACCUGGUAACAUUGAAAUCAAUUGCUCCUAAAUGACUUGACAACACAGUGUUUUGAAAAAAAAUGAUUGUGAAUAGACUGAGGCUGUCUGGAGGAUACAUUGUAUACAUCUAAAAACAAUUCACUAAAUAAACAGAGAAGAUGGCAUUGUAGAAAAGUGUUCAGAAGUCUCCAAGCAGCUUGAUCCAGUGAACAGAGCUCUAAACGAAGAGUAAAUAAAUCUGGGUUCUCUCCCUGGCUCUGGUGGUGACUGGUCACUGGAUGAAAACUGGCUAGUCACUGAACUAAUUUUGUCACUGCCCCUAAAACAACAGGCCUGGAGAUUCUGAAGUAAAAACAGUCUAGCAUUGAUAAUCCAGGUUCACUGAGAGGAUUGGCCUUUUAAGAUCCUCAUCUGGAAGGAACCAGUCACUGGUGCUUAUCCUAAAGAGAAUGACAGCCUGAAGUGCAACACCUAAGUGGGGGUGCCCACAGUUUAGUAGUGAAGAAGCCACAAGGGGUCCCAAGUAGUGAAGGGGUCCAGGUAAUUAAAAAAGCAGUACCCAAAUUACUAUGAGUAAUACAUUCACAAGAAAAAAUCGCCCUUAAUUCUAGUCUCUUAAUUACAAAAGAGGGUCUUUGAAAUAUUUGUUUCCAUCAGUGUGGUCUCACAUGCAUUAACACUGGUCAAAUAAGAAUAUACAUGAAAAUAUGACAAUUAUAGAUUAACAAAUUUUGGCUUAAAUAAACUAAUCAUCGGCCCCAUAAUUUGUUCUUUCCUCUUGGGAUACCUCAUAUUGUUGUGUUUUUUUUUUAAA